rnacentral:rRNA from 1 species
GAUGAACGCUGGCGGCGUGCCUAAUACAUGCAAGUCGAGCGAACAGACGAGGAGCUUGCUCCUCUGACGUUAGCGGCGGACGGGUGAGUAACACGUGGAUAACCUACCUAUAAGACUGGGAUAACUUCGGGAAACCGGAGCUAAUACCGGAUAAUAUAUUGAACCGCAUGGUUCAAUAGUGAAAGACGGUUUUGCUGUCACUUAUAGAUGGAUCCGCGCCGCAUUAGCUAGUUGGUAAGGUAACGGCUUACCAAGGCAACGAUGCGUAGCCGACCUGAGAGGGGGAUCGGCCACACUGGAACUGAGACACGGUCCAGACUCCUACGGGAGGCAGCAGUAGGGAAUCUUACGCAAAGGGCGAAAGCCUGACGGAGCAACGCCGCGUGAGUGAUGAAGGUCUUCGGAUCGUAAAACUCUGUUAUUAGGGAAGAACAAAUGUGUAAGUAACUAUGCACGUCUUGACGGUACCUAAUCAGAAAGCCACGGCUAACUACGUG